rnacentral:rRNA from 1 species
GAUGAACGCUGGCGGCGUGCCUAAUACAUGCAAGUCGAGCGAACAGAUGAGGAGCUUGCUCCUCUGACGUUAGCGGCGGACGGGUGAGUAACACGUGGAUAACCUACCUAUAAGACUGGGAUAACUUCGGGAAACCGGAGCUAAUACCGGAUAAUAUAUUGAACCGCAUGGUUCAAUAGUGAAAGACGGUUUUGCUGUCACUUAUAGAUGGAUCCGCGCCGCAUUAGCUAGUUGGUAAGGUAACGGCUUACCAAGGCAACGAUGCGUAGCCGACCUGAGAGGGGGAUCGGCCACACGGGAACUGAGACACGGUCCAGACUCCUACGGGAGGCAGCAAUAGGGAAUCUUACGCAAUGGGCGAAAGCCUGACGGAGCAACGCCGCGUGAGUGAUGAAGGUCUUCGGAUCGUAAAACUCUGUUAUUAGGGAAGAACAAAUGUGUAAGUAACUAUGCACGUCUUGACGGUACCUAAUCAGAAAGCCACGGCUAACUACGUG